rnacentral:rRNA from 1 species
UACGUAGGGGGCGAGCGUUGUCCGGAUUUAUUGGGCGUAAAGAGCUCGUAGGCGGUUCGAUAAGUCGGAUGUGAAAUCUCCACGCUCAACGUGGAGGGGCCAUUCGAUACUGUCGUGACUCGAGUCCGGUAGGGGAGUGUGGAAUUCCCGGUGUAGCGGUGAAAUGCGCAGAGAUCGGGAGGAACACCCGUAGCGAAGGCGGCACUCUGGGCCGGUACUGACGCUGAGGCGCGAAAGCUAGGGGAGCAAACAGG